rnacentral:rRNA from 1 species
CAACCUGCCUAUUAGAGGGGAAUAACAGCGAGAAAUCGUUGCUAAUACCGCAUAUGCUGCGAGUAUCGCAUGAUACAAGCAGGAAAGGAGCAAUCCGCUAAUAGAUGGGCUUGCGUCUGAUUAGUUAGUUGGUGGGGUAACGGCCUACCAAGACGAUGAUCAGUAGCCGGACUGAGAGGUUGAACGGCCACAUUGGGACUGAGAUACGGCCCAG